UUGUAGGUGGAAAGCAGCUUCACAUGCAUGGAGCGGUGGGUGUCGGCUUGUGGGUGGAUGCCACCUGCAGACAUAAGAUUGGCUACUUCCAGGAUUUCUAAGUGACCCUCAUGUGUGAAAAGGGAACAGGUCAUCUGACAAAUAGCUGCACUCCAUCACGGGCCGGAGGCGUCGGGAUGAUCGUGGAAUAGCCAUCAUCUGACCUCCGGUCACAGAGCGUUUCGGAUCAAGGGAAACCUCAAGCCACGAGUGGUCGCCCGAAUCAGCAGUUAUCUGGAAAACUCCUCUGGACUGUUCCCUCCGACCUCACCACGAGCCUCUGCCGAACUGCCAUCCUCACGAGACGGAUCCACGCUCCAGACCCUACGAACGUAUAUCCACCAGUGACUCCACGAGGCUCAGCCUCUCACGCUCUUGACCUCCAGGAACCGUGACUUUCUCGCUUUCUCGAGAAUCCACUUUCUCGCCAAGUCAUCUCUGCUCUGUGUCUCAUUCCGGGUUCCAGCAUCUGGGUCUCUGUUCUGUAGUCAUGACAACUUUAAAGUCACAAGAAAGGUAAAAUAUCAAAAAGAGUGGGUGUCCUUGUCUGGAUUUUUGUGAGAAACUUUGGUUCAUCUCACUGGUUAUUAUUUCCUAUUGUGGCCCUGGGUUAAGUGUUUUAUCUAAUCUUUAUUGAGAAAAUUAUAAAAUGAAGAGGACCUUAACCUAGACAUUUAGUGUACUUUUAAUAGCAGAAAACAUGCAACUUAUAUGUAAUCUUUAAAAAAAUGAAUAUGGUUCCUUAAAUCCAAGAGAAGCGAUCAUUGCAGAGGUUGGAGAUCCAUCUUUAAAAGACUCAAUCAGAUAUCCAGCCCUUUGGUGUUACACGUCCCUCCUUAAUGGGAUCUGUGUAAUUACACUGUUUUUGAGGUUGUUGUCUGGCCUCUGGGAUCUCUGACGGUUGAGUUCUCUCACUCUUCCCUUGAGGAGCUGUGUGAACUUAAAGAUCACAGAACCUGUGGAGCAUUUUAAUGGUGGCUGAAAUGAGCGUUUCUUCAGGCAAUAGCUCUACUUUCUCCCACUCAGGAACUUUCCUGGAGCACUACAUGCAGCCCACCAAAUACUUCUUCAUUGUUGCCUACUCGCUUUGCUUCGCAUGUCCUCCCACAACAGCUUGCUAUUUGUCCCAAUUUGUGCAUUUUUAGUUUAACAAGCUUAUGAGGUGUUUUUUUUUU